rnacentral:lncRNA from 1 species
CGAGCCUACUCUGGCUUGGGAGGCCGCCCGAGUUGCACAUCUUUCAUUGCUUGAUGAAACUCCUUUAAAUUUAAUUCGGCUGAAGUUUUUCUUUUAUCAUGUGUAAUGUCAAAAUAUCCAGUUGGAAAGGGGAAAAAACGACGAUCCUCAAGAAGGCGGUUCGGGCAACACCAAGCCUCCAGCAGUGGGAAGAUCAAUGUCAAGAUGACAUCAACGCUGCUUUGGGUGGCAAGGCUCUACAGCAGGGAUUUCCACAACUGAAUUCACGAAAGUCCCUUAGUAACUCUGAUAUGCAGCAGGAUUUUGGAACUGGAGCUAUUGAAAAGCUCAUUGAAGAUUAAUUAAUGCAAGAACCAGAGGAAUCAGGACAGUAUUGAAGCUUCUUCAAGCAAAACGUUUUAUUUCCAGCAGCAUGUGGAAAAACAUAUUGUAGAUGUCUGUAUAAAAUAUCUCAAACAGCCAUCAGAAAUUUGGGAUGUAAUGUUUUUAAUAAACCAUAGAAUGCCUGUUUUAAAGAUGUUGAAGUCCUGGAGUAACUAAAAAGGAUGGAUGAAAUGAGUAAAUCUGUAGACACAGUGACACUUUUGUCGCUUCUUGAAUCAUACUUUAAAUUAUUUGAGUAAUAAAUGUGACCAGUGACUUCUAGAUAUUUAAGGAGCUACAAUCAGAGUGUGUGUGUGUGUGUGUGUGUGUGUGUGUGUGUGUUAGAGAAACCCUACUUUCACAGGGAAUCCAG